rnacentral:rRNA from 1 species
UACGUAGGGUGCGAGCGUUGUCCGGAAUUAUUGGGCGUAAGGGGCUCGUAGGCGGUUUGUCGCGUCGGGAGUGAAAUCCACUGGCUUAACUGGUGGCUUGCUUUCGAUACGGGCAGACUGGAGGUAUGCAGGGGAGAACGGAAUUCCUGGUGUAGCGAUGAAAUGCGCAGAUAUCAGGAGGAACACCGGUGGCGAAGGCGGUUCUCUGGGCAUGUCCUGACGCUGAGGAGCGAAAGUGUGGGGAGCGAACAGG